AUAUAUAUAUAUAUAUAUAUAUAUAUAUGUGUGUCAGAAGAAAUUCACUUCAUCUGACCCAGUAAUAUCAACUCUACCAUAUGUGGUACAUACCCAAAACAUAUAGUUUACUUUUGUUGGAAUUCUCUCUUGGUUCAAAAACAAUAUGGUUUCCAUUUCUAAUAAGGUUUUCUCAAAGCAAAAUCAGAUUUGCUUUUUCCAAUGACUUUUGGGAUUUUUCUUCAGAAAAGUUCCAUAUUCUGCCAUUGGUUCAUUGUCCUGUGUCCUUUUAUUAACCUUGCACCAUAAACUCGCCUCUGACCAGACUGUUGAUUUUUCUUUUUAACAAACUGAGAAAGGCUACCAAAUUUUGCAAUUCUUGUAACCGUCCUUGUAUGAUCUUCCAUUGAGCUAUUCUCAUGGAAACAAGCUGAGGUUCUGUUUUGUUAAAUACUCAUGUAUUACCAUUACAAACAUUUAAAAUUAUUCUUUGAGUUUCUUUUACUAAGUGUAAAUAUUUUCCAGUACCCAUCUGGUCAAUACAGCCAGUUGUGGCUCACCAUUUUGAGGGUUAUUUUUUAACCCUUCUUCAUGUUUCAAAUUUCUUCAGUAUCUUUGUCAUGGUAGACAGUGAUAAUGACAUGUCAAAUACUCAGGCCGUUUCUGGUUAUAUAUAGUAUCAGUAUCUCAUUUCAUAUCAAAGAUACAAUAACUUUACUCGGACAUCUAUUGUCAGUUUACCACCAACCCCAAACCCCCACCACCCUGGCUACAACCACUAGAUUUAGAUUAAGCAUGAUUACAUUAUGUGAAAUUUUAUCACCCACUCAUACCAAUGUCAUCCAUUGUAAAAUAAAAUAAAACAAUAUCUCAUUUCAUUUCUUUGUCCUUGAAGACGUUUGAAUUUUCAAAUAGAUGGUCUUGUGUUAAAAUUGAAAUUAUGAGAAAAAAGAAAAACAAAACAAAAAAACCACAACAUUGUGUGUGUGUGUGUGUGUGGGUGUGUGUGUGUGUGUGUGUGU